UGAGUGUCUGCAGCUGUAGGGGGAGUUUCUCUGCCCCGCUCGCACCAUAUAUCUUUAACCUCUAAUGCUGCUGACCCUUCCCUCCAUCGCUUUCAUUUACUGUGCUCAGCGCCCUCGGGCUCCCCCCGCUCCUCGUGGGUCGGGGGCCGAACUCCCCCCGCGGCCCCCGUGCGGGUGGGGCCGGGGCGCUCCUCCUCUGCAGCGGAGAGGGAAAGGGAAAGCGAAAGGGAAAGAGCAGGCGAUGUCCCCGCAGUGGGGCCGGGGCAGGCGGCACACGCAGCCCGCAGCGGGGGGCAGCACAGCCAAAAGCUUUCUUGAGGAGGUCGGUAAACAUGGCAGUGACUGUCCCAGUCUGCGUGGCUUUUCUUCUGAGAUAAACAACGCGGUACAAAAUAGCUGACGUUUCACGUGCUGCAGUUGCAGCAUCUUCCUCUGAAGGAGCACUGCGGUUAAUGAUGCACGCACGUGGUCAUACCCAGGAGAUGCACAGGGUGAGGUCCCACCAGGACACCCCUCACCACGGGGAUGCAGCAGUUGAUUCUGGGGUCCCGUGGCAGCUCCACAUCCACAGUGACCAAAGGGCCCACAGGGACAGUGGCCCUGGAGGUAGCUGGUGACUGAAGACUGCUGGAUUGCUCCAUACCUGGAUGAGAUGUGUGAGGUCGCCGGGGAUGCUGGUGGCUGUGGGUCUCCUGAUGACCACAGCCAAGGCAGGCCAGGUUGGAUGGGGCCUUGGCAACCUGAGCUGGAUUUCAGCCUCCAGAUUUCAGCCCCCCAAAUGUGCCAAGCGUGAACCUUCAGCGAGAGCUUCAUCCACGCAACCCAUGCUGGACUAACUCAUCCCAGUCCAACCGUUCCCUGCAGCAGGAGUUUUGCGUUCAUGGAAGCACCUGGUGUAUUAGAAGUUGGUUUUGGAAUGCACUCACAGUGCCAACAGCCACAGUGACCGUCCUGCUGCCGGGCUGAGCAGUGGGGGGCUCUGCACUGGGGGAUGGAGCCUGAGCUGUGGCCUUGGGACCUGGCUGAGUUUCCCUGCUUCCAGCUGGGGGAUGGGGACAUCAGGAACAGGACCCAUCUAGGAACAGGAGCAGGUGCUGCCUUGCUUACCAUGGGGCUUUAAAGGCCAGGCUCACCCCAGCAAGGCAGUGGGUCCUCAGUUAGCUGCCCAGCUCCUUGUAAGGUCAUAUUUGUCAUCUCAAAAUACAGUUUGCUGUAGAACAGAGAAUAUUUAGAAGGGAUUUGAUAAGUAACAUCUGCUGCUGUACUGAAAUUUCAGUUCGAAGUGCUAAAAACUUUAAAAAGAAAGAGGUUUGGGUAAAAAUAAAAGGUCUCUGGAGAGGUCUCCUUGGCAGGAUCCUCCUCUCCUCCUUACACACAGCAGAUUUGUUCAUGUUUGCCAUUAUCCAUCAAACCAGAGCGCAGCAAAGGGCAGCUUUCAAGAGAUGAACCUGGAGGAGAUAAUAUUUCACACCGCAUAAAAUGCACCUCGGGAAUUUUCAGUUCUUCUUCCCUGUUACAUUACAAGGGCCUUCAUAAAAAGUGUCACAGCUCACGAGCUAAAAAAGAAAAAGAAGAAAAGAGAAAAAAAAAAAAAAAAGCAGCAGCUUGUGGCUUUGGAUGCAUUCAGUGCGCGUUUGUGGUCGGCGUUUCCCAGGCUGCUCGGGGGUGAGCGCCAGGUCGGCCCUCGCACGGCGCUCUGCAGGCGCUGUUUCUGUAUGAGUGAUAGCAGGCACUGAACGGCAGCACUGCGGCUGAAGGCUCCAUCCUGCCCAGGGGGUUGGGAUGGGGAUGCAGCUCCCAGCCGCCCCGCUGCUGCUGCUGUGUUCAAUGAGGUGGGAGUGGGCGCUAACCCGGGGUUUGAGGGAUAUAAGUAGGUUUUGCCUCCUCUAACGGAGAGGUUUGGCUUCAUCCUCGUUCAACUUCACUGCCACAAGGUGAGAUGGGGAACGGAUGGGUGAGCGUACAAAUGAGGAGGUGCUGCAGAGCAGCCUCAGUGCACAAUGUGGGGCAAUGUAAGUCACCGAGUGCUGCCGUAGGAAGAGGUGGGAGGCUCUGGUUUGGCAGUUACUAUAGCAAUUAACCCAAGCCCAGGGUUCCCCUGGGUACAGCCCUGGCGGUGCCUGCAUGCUCGCUGCAGAUGGGUUGUUGUGGUGCUGGGGUGUACUUGUGUGCUUGAUCUGUGUGUAAACACAAGAAGGCAGAUAUACAAACACUGCCCUGCACUCAACCUGGCUGCUCUAAAACAAACCAUCAUUAGAGGGAGGCAGUCCAGGAGGUCCAACCCUGACGCACACGGCUGUGCCUGCUGCCAGCCUGCUGCACCGAUGUGUCUUGCUUCCACAGAGCUCAAUUCACCGCACCAGAAGUAGUCCUAAAACCCAACACAAGGGACAGAUCCUUUGGUUUUCCAUAUUUUCUCCCCUGGGUAGGAAACAGGUCAGGUCUGCCAGCAGAACAGACCGCAGCAGAUGGGUUGCUUUCCUACUGCACUUUUUUGCAUGAAGGAAGAUGAUACCUUACACGUGAGGUGCCACCUCAGUCAGUCACUGCACAAUGCCUUUCCUUGUCCCCUCCAUGCCCUCAGCAGUCAGACAUCUGACUCCGAUUGCUCUCUUUCCCACUUGAUGUAAGGAGUAUUGUGCACGAAGAGAAGUGCACGGAGGUGAAACCCUCUGAGAAACAUUGCGGCCACUUCUCUUUUCCCAUCAGCAGAUAUUGCUUCAGUUCCCAUUUCCUACUAUUGACUUUUGUUGCCUUUGGGCCCUGAUCACUGGCUGCUUGCUAAGGAUUUCUGAGCCUUGGACCAUGACCUAAUUUCACUAUUUAAAAACAGAUCUUCAGUAUUCCUAUUGUGCUUUGUCUUUGAAUGGGCAUUUCUGCAAAACAGUUCCAUUUUCUCUGCCUGCAAGCAACACAAGAUCGAGCAAGGCGCUCACACCGUGGUACCAGCAGGGCCCAGCCAUGGGAACAAUCCCUGUCCCCCCCAUCCGGAGCCCUCUGCCC
rnacentral:lncRNA from 1 species